rnacentral:rRNA from 1 species
ACCGGCGAUUUCCGAAUGGGGAAACCCAGUGUGAUUCGUCACACUAUCAUUAACUGAAUCCAUAGGUUAAUGAGGCGAACCGGGGGAACUGAAACAUCUAAGUACCCCGAGGAAAAGAAAUCAACCGAGAUUCCCCCAGUAGCGGCGAGCGAACGGGGAGCAGCCCAGAGCCUGAAUCAGUGUGUGUGUUAGUGGAAGCGUCUGGAAAGGCGCGUGAUACAGGGUGACAGCCCCGUACACAAAAAUGCACAUGCUGUGAGCUCGAUGAGUAGGGCGGGACACGUGGUAUCCUGUCUGAAUAUGGGGGGACCAUCCUCCAAGGCUAAAUACUCCUGACUGACCGAUAGUGAACCAGUACCGUGAGGGAAAGGCGAAAAGAACCCCGGCGAGGGGAGUGAAAAAGAACCUGAAACCGUGUACGUACAAGCAGUGGGAGCACGCUUAGGCGUGUGACUGCGUACCUUUUGUAUAAUGGGUCAGCGACUUAUAUUCUGUAGCAAGGUUAACCGAAUAGGGGAGCCGAAGGGAAACCGAGUCUUAACUGGGCGUUAAGUUGCAGGGUAUAGACCCGAAACCCGGUGAUCUAGCCAUGGGCAGGUUGAAGGUUGGGUAACACUAACUGGAGGACCGAACCGACUAAUGUUGAAAAAUUAGCGGAUGACUUGUGGCUGGGGGUGAAAGGCCAAUCAAACCGGGAGAUAGCUGGUUCUCCCCGAAAGCUAUUUAGGUAGCGCCUCGUGAAUUCAUCUCCGGGGGUAGAGCACUGUUUCGGCAAGGGGGUCAUCCCGACUUACCAACCCGAUGCAAACUGCGAAUACCGGAGAAUGUUAUCACGGGAGACACACGGCGGGUGCUAACGUCCGUCGUGAAGAGGGAAACAACCCAGACCGCCAGCUAAGGUCCCAAAGUCAUGGUUAAGUGGGAAACGAUGUGGGAAGGCCCAGACAGCCAGGAUGUUGGCUUAGAAGCAGCCAUCAUUUAAAGAAAGCGUAAUAGCUCACUGGUCGAGUCGGCCUGCGCGGAAGAUGUAACGGGGCUAAACCAUGCACCGAAGCUGCGGCAGCGACGCUUAUGCGUUGUUGGGUAGGGGAGCGUUCUGUAAGCCUGUGAAGGUGUACUGUGAGGUAUGCUGGAGGUAUCAGAAGUGCGAAUGCUGACAUAAGUAACGAUAAAGCGGGUGAAAAGCCCGCUCGCCGGAAGACCAAGGGUUCCUGUCCAACGUUAAUCGGGGCAGGGUGAGUCGACCCCUAAGGCGAGGCCGAAAGGCGUAGUCGAUGGGAAACAGGUUAAUAUUCCUGUACUUGGUGUUACUGCGAAGGGGGGACGGAGAAGGCUAUGUUGGCCGGGCGACGGUUGUCCCGGUUUAAGCGUGUAGGCUGGUUUUCCAGGCAAAUCCGGAAAAUCAAGGCUGAGGCGUGAUGACGAGGCACUACGGUGCUGAAGCAACAAAUGCCCUGCUUCCAGGAAAAGCCUCUAAGCAUCAGGUAACAUCAAAUCGUACCCCAAACCGACACAGGUGGUCAGGUAGAGAAUACCAAGGCGCUUGAGAGAACUCGGGUGAAGGAACUAGGCAAAAUGGUGCCGUAACUUCGGGAGAAGGCACGCUGAUAUGUAGGUGAAGUCCCUCGCGGAUGGAGCUGAAAUCAGUCGAAGAUACCAGCUGGCUGCAACUGUUUAUUAAAAACACAGCACUGUGCAAACACGAAAGUGGACGUAUACGGUGUGACGCCUGCCCGGUGC